rnacentral:lncRNA from 10 species
CGCCACUGGCAGCUGGGUACCGAUUCAUCACCGACGUGUUUAAAGUAUCCGUGUGUGUGCCUCCAAAAACCGUUUGUGGAGACAGCAGAGUGCCCGAGGCAGGAAACCGCUCCGGCCUGGAGGCGCCCCUGCCCGGACUCGUGGACUGCAGCGCUGUCCCGCUCGGAAGCCGAUCCUGGGAGUCCGAGCGGGGCCGCGGGGCCUGCGUGGCAGCCGAGUCGAGGGCUUCGGGCCGCGGGGCUGUGGAGCGCCCCUUGGCGCUGGGCCGCCGGCAGCCGUGAGCGCAUCACUGCAUUUCCCUGGAGGAAUUCCUCAUCUGUUGAAUGAGGGAGUUGAGGCGGACACGCUGGGAAAUGGCUUCGAGCUCACACACUGAUUUUCGUGAGUGGAAAGAGAAGCCCUUUCUUAGGCGUCUUCCAUACCACUGCAUGUUCCAGGGUCCUCCCUGGGCUCUCUGUCUCCCACGCCACCGCGAGCACGGCCUAAGCGGGCGAGCGAAGGCGCGACGGCGCCGAGAGCCGGCUGUGAUGCGCGGCGGGCGCUGCCUGAACCCCCGAAUCCUCACAAGCCUCUGUGCAGCGGCCACGGCCCUCAGCUAGCGGCGGGGAGACUGAAGCCGCAGGGUCAGGGUUAGUUGCCACAUGUUUUAAAUUCCUAUCCAAACUUCCAUUAUAAUUGUUUUUAUUUAUUUAUUCAUCUAUUUUUUGAGACAGGGUCCCGCUCUGUCGCCCAGGCUGGAGUGCAGUGGAGCGAUCACGGUUCACUGCAGCCUCCCCACCUCCGACUCCAGCGAUCCUCUCGCCUCAGCCUCCCGAGUAGCUGGGACCACAGGUGCAUGCCACCAUGCCCGGCUAAUUGUUAAUAUUUUUUUUGGUAGAGAUGGGGCCUCCCUCUGUUGCCUAGGCUGGCCUUGAACUCCUGGGCUCAAGCGAUCUUCCAGCUUCGGCCUCCCAAAGUGCUGGCAUUACAGGCGUGAGUCACCCCGCCUGGCAAGAAUUGUUGUUUUGAAACUAACUGAGGUUCUCCCAUCAAUGGAUUUAAAUUGUUACUUUUUAAUGAUUUUUUUUUAAGUAGCCAAAUACUAAAUGUAUGUAAUUUGAAUGUGGAGAGAAGAUAAUGCAUGAUUCAAAUUAUGUGGCUGAUCAUGGGUGAUACACUGGGAUAUAGUUGUAAAAUAAGUAGUUCUCCUAGGGAAAAUAUUAAAGUACAACUGUGUUGGGUUUAAUAUCAGAAAAAUGUAAUUAAAAACAUUUCCUGCCAAUAAUUUCCAAUCUGAUACUUAAACAAAACAAAACAAUAAAAGUUUCCCAUCUCUUUCGGGCCUUUUAAAUUUCUACCAAAAGUAAGUGAUGCUGGCUGAUUCCCCUGCUAUAGCAAGUUGUGAAUAAAUAGCCUUUGCUGGUUUCCACAGUUUUCCUGGUGAUCCCAUGGUAAGUCUGUACUGCUUGUCCCUGAGGUCCCCAGGCUUCC